UACAGAGGUCUCAAGCGUUGUUCGGAUUCAUUGGGCGUAAAGGGCGCGUAGGCGGCGGGGUAAGUCGGGUGUGAAAUCUCAGAGCUCAACUCUGAAACUGCACUCGAUACUGCUCUGCUUGAGGACUGGAGAGGAGACUGGAAUUCACGGUGUAGCAGUGAAAUGCGUAGAUAUCGUGAGGAAGACCAGUGGCGAAGGCGGGUCUCUGGACAGUUCCUGACGCUGAGGCACGAAGUCAGGGAGCGAACGGGG
rnacentral:rRNA from 1 species